rnacentral:rRNA from 1 species
UACGGGGGGGGCAAGCGUUGUUCGGAAUCACUGGGCUUAAAGGGCGCGUAGGCGGGUGCUCAAGUCUGUGGUGAAAUCCUCCGGCUCAACCGGAGAACUGCCAUGGAUACUGGGUGCCUCGAGGGUGGUAGGGGUAUGCGGAACUAUCGGUGGAGCGGUGAAAUGCGUUGAUAUCGAUAGGAACUCCGGUGGCGAAGGCGGCAUACUGGACCACUUCUGACGCUGAGGCGCGAAAGCCAGGGGAGCGAACGGG